GACGAACGCUGGCGGCGUGCCUAAUACAUGCAAGUAGAACGCACAGUUUAUACCGUAGCUUGCUACACCAUAGACUGUGAGUUGCGAACGGGUGAGUAACGCGUAGGUAACCUGCCUGGUAGCGGGGGAUAACUAUUGGAAACGAUAGCUAAUACCGCAUAAUAUUGAUUAUUGCAUGAUAAUUAAUUGAAAGGUGCAAUUGCACCACUACCAGAUGGACCUGCGUUGUAUUAGCUAGUAGGUGAGGUAACGGCUCACCUAGGCGACGAUACAUAGCCGACCUGAGAGGGUGAAUGUGUACCGUGGGACUGAGCGACGAGAGAGACUCUUACGGGAGGCAACAAUAGGGAAUCUUCCGAAAUGGGCGGAGUCCUGACGGAGCGAGGCCGGGUGAGUGAUGAUGGUUUUCGGAUCGUAAAACUCUGUUAUGAUGGACGAAGAAAUGUGUAAGUAACUAUGCACGUCUUGACGGUACCUAAUCAGAAAGCCACGGCUAACUACGUG
rnacentral:rRNA from 1 species